GCGCGCUGCUUUGGUAGCGGAGGAAUGGAAAGGUGGCAAGUUCGAACUCAGCCGUAGACGUUUCAAUGGAAUGCUUUUUCCAAUAAUUUCAAUGGAAUGAAUUAGCAUAUCUCCUAACGGUAACUUAAAGCAAUAAUCUGGAUAGAAAGCCAGUCAAGCACAGAAGCUGUCGAGUGGUAGAGCUGGAAAGAGAACAUAGACAAACAUGGCAAAACAAAAGAGGUAAGUGCGCUACUUUGGUGCCGCUAAACUGACAACAUGCAUGAUACUAAAAAAUAAUAUAUAAUACAAUAACAGUACAGAAAUUUGUAGAUUAUAUAUGUAUAAUAAUAAUCAGUCAUUACACACAGAAAUUAAGGUAGGUUAACACACAUAAUGGCCCGCGGGCGCUUAAUAUUCAUAGGAUUAUUUACAUCAUAGUUAUACUUAGUUAUCGCAGGAUUGUCAAUAGCCUCCUGCUUGUCAUAA